GCAGUGACCCAUAAACCGACUUCUGACAGAUGAUUUCUUAUUUUUGUUUUCUUUGAGGAGCAGAGCCAUCUCUUGGAUGAAACCGCGAGUAAAAGAUUGCUAUAAAUUCAAUGUUGAAAGCGUUAUGAAAAGUGGCUCCAUGAUAAAUGUAGAGCCACAUUUUUUUGCCA